CAGACGCUGCCGCUGUCCGUGUUGACGCCACGCUGGGGAGAGAGAACACAGACAUGACACACGGGGCCGCAUGGCGCCCCCACAGCCUGCACCCCUGAGGCCUCCAGCUAGGCUCAGGACAGGGUCCUGUCUGUGGCCCAGACUGGAGCACAGUGGCGCGAUCAUACCUCACUGCAGCCUCAAACUCCUGGGCUCAAGCACGCCUCCCACCUCAGCCUCCCAAGUAGCUGGGACCACAAGCACAUGCCACCAGGCCUGGCUAACUUUUUAAUUUGUUGUAAAGACAAGGUCUUGCCAUGUUGCCCAGGCUGGCCUGGAACUCCUGGCUCCAAGCGAUCCUCCCACCUUGCCUCUCAAGGCACUCGGAUAACAGGCGUGAGCCCCUGGACGCAACCCCUCUCAGUUUUUUAAUCCUCCCCUAUGGUCCCAACCUCUGCAGGAGAGGUGGCCCCCAUAAAAACCCUCCCCAGAGCCAAGCACUGCCCCACCCUUGGACACCAGCCACUUACCAAAGUGAGGAGGACAGAAGGCUUCUGUGACGUCAGGACACUGGCAAUCUAGAAGGUUGGAAAGAAAAACCCACUUUAGAGGCACCACUAAGCCUAAUGAAGAUGACAUGCCACCAUUCCUUCAUAAUGACAGUGCAUAUUCAUCAAGCAAAUCCUUAGAACAGGCGACGCGGGUGCUGCCCUCACCCUGCAGGUGAAGAAACCCAGCUUCCCCCGGUUGAAGGACUUCUGAAAGCCACACAGCCAUCGAGGGGCAGAGAGGAUAAACCUACACCUGGCUCGCUUCCCACCGCACCGCCCUGCUUCCAGGCACCACACAGAUCCCUGGCUCCAAGCAGCCAGCCCUACCCACCCUCCAAGGCCAGCCCCUCUGCCCAUCUGCAAAGUCCCUGCUCAAAGACCCGUCCCCCGGGAACCCUUUAGGCUCCAGGCCUACCAGCCUCUGGUUCCUAGGGCAGAAGACUCCCUCCCUGCUCCCCAUUCAACCCCUAGACCCAGGGGAGUUGGCCUUCCCCAAUCCCACCCUCUGGCCCCCACCCCACAGCCCACUCUCUGUCCCUCCACCAUGACCCACUUGGACCUCCUGGCACUGCAGGCCAGUUAUUUCCCGGCCCAAGCCCUUGCAUCUGCAUGCUGGGCCAGCUCAUCUCUCCACGCCUCUGCUCCAGCUCUUACCUCUCCCUAAGUGCCUUCUUCCCAUCUUAGUGCCUCAUCAAUGUGCACUCAGGAUGGAAGCCCCAGCCCCCUGGGCAGGUUCGUUCACUCCCUCCUCUACUGCCUCACUGACAGUCACCACUCCCCCAGCAAAGUGCCAUGUGCCAACCAGCCUGCUGGGAGCAAUUUCUUCCUCUGCCAGCCCCUCCUCCUCAGUCUGCCCUGCAUCUUGGCUACUGCAGACCCUCUUGUUUCUGAGCACCCCCUGGGCAGAGAACAGUCUCAUCUCCACAGCCCUCGCCUCUCCCCACACCCCUAUCCUAACUCUUUACACCCGAAACGCAGGGGGAGAGUGAGGAGAAUGUGUUGUUGUUUUAACAGCUUGAUUGAGUGAUCACUGACAUACUCUAUGCUGCCUGUAUUUAACAUAGACAUUUUGAUAAGUUUUGACAUAUGUAUACAUAUACCUUUUUUAAUACUGAGAUGCCUCCCAAGAAAACCUGGAACGUAUUGAAAACUAUAAAAAGAUAAAAUGCACGUACAAUCCUA